UACGAAGGGGGCGAGCGUUAUUCGGAAUCACUGGGCGUAAAGCGUGCGUAGGCUGUUCGGCAAGUUGGAAGUAAAAGCCCAGGGCUCAACCCUGGAAUUGCUUUCAAAACUGCCGAACUAGAGUCCGGGAGAGGAUAGCGGAAUUUCCAGUGUAGUAGUGAAAUACGUAGAUAUUGGAAGGAACACCAGUGGCGCAAGCGGCUAUCUGGACCGGUACUGACGCUGAGGCACGAAAGCGUGGGGAUCAAACAGG
rnacentral:rRNA from 1 species